GACGGAAGGUGCAAGCGUUGCUCGGAAUCACUGGGCGUAAAGGGUGCGUAGGCGGCUUGGUAAGUUGGGUGUGAAAGCCCCGGGCUCAGCCCGGGAAGGGCACUCGAAACUGCCGAGCUGGAGUGCCGGAGGGGGGAGUGGAAUUCCUGGUGUAGCGGUGAAAUGCGUAGAUAUCAGGAGGAAUACCGGUGGCGAAAGCGGCUCACUGGGUCUUUUCUGACGCUGAUGCACGAAAGCUAGGGGGGCAAACAGG
rnacentral:rRNA from 1 species